CCCCUACGAAGACCUUUCCUGUAAUCCCGAUCUUGCUCCCUAUCCACAAUCUCGUCCUCGCCGCCUUCCACCGCCGCACCCCUCCCCCGCUCCUCCUCCUCCCUCUACGUCAUCCCCAUCCACGCGCAACUCGUUCAUGGCUGCCCUCGUCGGCGUCUCGAGAGGAAGCCAACUGCCGUCGUUGCAGACUUGCAGGAAUUGUGGGCGGCGGAUCGAGCCGCCCCUCCUUGUGAUGUUCCCCAUGGAGGUAGUGACAGGGCUGUGCUACUAGCAGCCAUUCGAUUCCGCGCCAGUGUCGGGAGUCAUGCGGACAAUACGCACACCCGACGACCAGCACACAACUUCCACCACGUAUUAGGGUGUAUACAGUGUCGGUUGUCGCCACCAGGCAUCGCUGCCGUCCUGCCUCGCUCACCACAGAUGAUUCCGUGUGAGAGACUUCACGCCAUCAGGCUUGACCGCUCCGCUAUGGCUUAGCCAUCUCAAACGCCCAGGUUAGUAAUGCUGUUGGUGUUUUAUGUAAUCUGCCGUACAUGAAGUAAUACGUAUCAGGGCUGGGCGUCGUGGAUAGGUAGUAUUCUGAGGUUUGAACCACAAUAGAGUAAUUGCUUUUUCUUAUCAGAUAAACGGAUCUGUAGUGAUGUUCAGUUUAAAGCAGCACUCCUGACUUUGGAUGACUUCUGCAAGACACAGUCUGUCAUUCAUGUUAAAAUACAUAGAAAAAACCAUUACUAACCUGUUUCCUAGUGGUUAUGAUCUGGAAUUACAGCAGCAGAUGCUGUUCUUCUUUUAUAUUCUAAUCUCAAAUCAAUUGAUUCAGGUUUGUGUCUUGUAGCAAGCAGACAUUUUUUUGGCCUACUCCUGCACGCAUACUGGACGAACAAAAGCCCGCUGGAUAUUUGUGUUUGGACCUAGCUACACGGAGACGUGGAACUAUGUGUUUUUGUUUUCCUUGCAAUGUUUGUGCCAAAGAGACGUGGUUCAAGUUACAAAUUGCUUUCCAAUUUAGCUAAUAUGUUGUAUUCAAUAUUUCCUAUCAGGUAUCACUCGAAUCUGAAAAACUUAAGCCAGAAAGAAGCUAUUGUAUUCAGGGGAUAUGCAUGUGCGAAGGACUAGAGCAGGUGACUCGUGCUAACCAUUCCACCACCAAGAAGCAGUACUCGUCGCUAUGUUGUAAUAUAGGCACCUUUUGCUAUCUCUUGCACGUCGUGUGUAUGAACCAGUGCACUACAAGGUCCUUUCUCUACGCUUCUUGCUUAUGUUCCCAUGAUCUAGAUGUGUAGACUGCAGACCAUAACUGUGUGCAACAAACAAUUGAUAUUUCGUUUGCAGUUUGACAACCUCCAUGAGUUUUUGUUGGAAUUCAUGUAGUCCUUAAGUUACUGCUUGUUGGCAACUUGGAUUACUCUUAGAGAAUAUAUGCAUCCGUUACUUGUUUAGUUUUUAUUUAAUAACUUCUCUGCGCAUUGAGUAUCCUAUGCUAGAUGAGCUGCACAAAGGUGCCAAUAAAUGGAUUUCACACUAGGGUAUUGGAGUUUGUAGCAGAAGAAGGUACGAUCAUCAUGCUCUAGCUACUAGGCAUGUGCUAUAAGUAAACCUUUACUUCUUUCUUAAGCCGUAUUACCCAGGAAAUAUAUUUCAACUGAGUUAUACAAUCAUCGCUCGUUUAUAUGUAUAGCUACCAUUGAAAUAACGUUAAAAUUAGGGAAAUAAAAAAGGUUUGCCUGCUGAACAUCCACCGUUCAAGCCCAAACAUAAGUUGCAAGGAUUGAACCAGCCAUGAACUCAUUCAUAAUGGCACCAAUUUCCUUCUCAGGCAUGUCAACUUGCAUAGCUGAUAAGAUGAAGUUGUUACUGCACAUUCUUUCAAUAAGUCAAUCCAGCUGGCCAAAAGAGUAUUAUCAGUUCGGCAUGUGGUGAACUACCCAAUUAUCUCAAUCAUACGUUGUUACCAAAGCUGAUAUCUUUCAAAAAAGCAGGGCAAUACUUUUUGUGGUAAUAUCUUUAUGCUGGGUGCUAUUAGAUAGAGUUAUUGUGUUCACUCCAAAGUUAUAUUGUCCAGGCAAUGAAAUAUUGCGAGUUGAUCAUCUGGAGGAUUGGAGAUAUUUCACAGGCCACAAGAGAUAAAUAUAAUGAAGGGCUAUUGUGCGAGUCACAUGCAGACCAAGGGGUACAAGGCACAAUAGAGGAAUUUAUUUUAUUUCUUGUAUUAGAUUAAGGUGUGAACUUUUUUUGCCACCAAGCCUAUGGCUAGCUAGUUGUCUUAAUGUUCACUUUGUAUCAAGCUGAUGUAUGUAACUCAUAUUGUAUUUCUAAAUUUCAAUUAAUAUUUUUUUGAUUUAUAUUUGAUGUA